AUUUCCCUACUCACCCGGCCCCGAAUCCACCGCAGUGCUGUUUCAAGCGAGUCAGAUUCCAGAUCGCGCUCCAGCCCGGACUCGGAAUUCCUGCCCCGCGGGUCUGCAUUUUCACAGCGGCAGGUGUGAUUGUGGUCACUGAUAAGGAGGACCCUGAGGGCAACCACACCUUGCCAUGCAGAGCACCUGGCUUCUCACCUGCCAACCUCACUCUGACCUGGCUGCAGGAAGGGACGGAGCCAACUCUGGACUCAAGACUCAAGGGGAUCAGACCCAGAGAGAUGAGACAUACCAGGGCUGGGCAGCUGUGGGGGUCCUUCCAGAGAGGAGCUGAGAUACACCUACCUGGAGGGGCUCCUCAGUGUGACUGGGUGAGGUGUUUUCAGAGGACCAGGGUUGAGGGUGGGGGCAUCUCAUCCAGACCCUGCCCCCCUCUCUGCCCCAGGACCCAAGGCCCCCUUCCUCCCUCCUCAAUGGAGAUGCUGGGGAUGUCCUUAGUCACCCUCUGAGUACUCACACAUCACCCCUUAUUUGGAAGUUUUUCUUGUUCUAACCUCCUUCCUUCCUGCUGCACCUUCUUCCCCAGCCCCAGGCUCUGGCCUCUCUCUCUCCUCUUCUACCCUCUAGCCGGUAAUGACUGAUUUCCCACUGAGGAGCCAGCUCUAGGGGAGAGUCUGGGCUCUCGGUGAGGUUGGGAGAAGGAAAAGGCUUAUGGGCCAGGGGAUGGGAGGGAGAAUGGGCACAGCCAGAGCAGAAGUGAAAAGGUUAGGGGAGGCGAUAAAGACAGAUGUUUCCAUAUCACCAUUUUUCUUUCAUGGUCCAAGGGAGCUGUCCUUCCUCCAGGCCCAGGGAAGUGAAAAAAGAAGCAGGAACAGUGAAAUACGCCACAGGAAAGAAAAAUCUUAGUGAUCCCUCCUGCUGUCUCUCUCCUUUUGUCUAUUCUGGCAAAUUUUGUAAGUGAAAUUUGUUACCAAGAUGUGAAAAUCUUAUUAUAAGAAAGUCUCUAAAUAUUUGAGAAUAAAAUGAUCAAUGUCUCAGCUCUGCAGGCUGAAAAAACAGAAUCUUUACAAAAUAAAAUCAUGUUUGGAAAACUUCUCCUCUGAGGGAUAGCAAAGCCUGCACUGAAUAAGCUCUAAGGAGGUGCUGAAAUGACAGCCAUUUAUUUGCCUGUGUAAGCUCAGGCAGGUGUUGGAAUUGAGGAAGGAUAGGUAAUGAAAAAAGUAACCAUGUGCUUGGGGCACAGUGACGGUGAUGACCACAGAAUCAACACAGUAAGCUCUAGUAUUUGCAUCGUAGUCCAGUUCAUUCAAGCAAAGCUAUCUCCAAUAGGGAAUUUACCCUGUACAGAACAUGUGCGUUUUGAUUUCACCUUUUCUGACUGACCCUUUGCUCAUGACAAUAGUGAAAAAAUACAGCCCUGGGUGGAGAUUUAAGAUGCUAACGAGUCAUCAGAUGUAUGAACAUGCAUGUACAGCUACUGCACAUGUGCACCCAGAAGACCACCCAGAGCAUGCUUACUAGUAACCCCUCUUCCCACCCACCUCCUACGAAUAAUCAUGUAAGACUCCCAUAAAGGGAGUUUCUCCAGCAGUAAUCAAUGCUGUCUCAUCCAUAGGCGCAGCCCGCCCUGAAUCCUCUCUCUCAGGGUAUACAGUUUAUUUUGCACUUAACUUUCAAAAUAGUAUUUUUCCUUUGUAAUAAAUUGCUUUGUACUUC